AUUGAACGCUGGCGGCAGGCCUAACACAUGCAAGUCGAGCGAGCGGCGGACGGGUGAGUAAUGUAUGGGGACUGCCCGAUAGAGGGGGAUAACUACUGGAAACGGUGGCUAAUACCGCAUACUAUCGGAUAACCCAUAUGGGAUUAGCUAGUAGGUGGGGUAAAGGCUCACCGAGGCGACGAUCUCUAGCUGGUCUGAGAGGAUGAUCAGCCACACUGGGACUGGGACACGGCCCAGAAUCCUACGGAGGCGGCAGUGGGGAAUCUAGCACAAUGGGCGCAAGCCGAAUGAAGACAUGCCGCGUGUAUGAAAAGGGCCUUAGGGUUGUAAAGUACUUUCAGCGGGGAGGCGUUACCCGAAGAGAAAGCACCGGCUAACUCCGUGCCAGCAGCCGCGGUAAUAC
rnacentral:rRNA from 1 species